GAUGAAGAACGUAGCGAAAUGCGAUAAGUAAUGUGAAUUGCAGAAUUCAGUGAAUCAUCGAAUCUUUGAACGCACAUUGCGCCCGCCAGUAUUCUGGCGGGCAUGCCUGUCUGUGCGUCAUUUCAACCCUCAUGCCCCUAGGGCGUGGUGUUGGGGAUCGGCCAAAGCCCGCGAGGGACGGCCGGCCCCUAAAUCUAGUGGCGGACCCGUCGUGGCCUCCUCUGCGAAGUAGUGAUAUUCCGCAUCGGAGAGCGAUGAGCCCCUGCCGUUAAACCCCCAACUUUCCAAGGUUGACCUCAGAUCAGGUAGGAAUACCCGCUGAACUUAAGCAUAUCAAUAAGCGGAGGA
rnacentral:misc_RNA from 1 species